UACGUAGGGUGCAAGCGUUGUCCGGAAUUAUUGGGCGUAAAGAGCUCGUAGGCGGUUUGUUGCGUCGGCUGUGAAAUCCCGAGGCUCAACCUCGGGUCUGCAGUCGAUACGAGCAAACUAGAGUGUUGCAGGGGAGACUGGAAUUCCUGGUGAUAGCGGUGAAAUACGCAGAUAUCAGGAGGAACACCGGUGGCGAAGGCGGGUCUCUGGGCAACAACUGACGCUGAGGAGCGAAAGCGUGGGGAGCGAACAGG
rnacentral:rRNA from 1 species